UUGAAUGACGAAAAUUAUGUUGGUAGGGACAUCUGAAAUGCUGAUGAAUGCCAACUUUUCUGACAUGUUAAA